rnacentral:lncRNA from 1 species
GGUAGGGAAUGGAAGGUUAACUUCACUUCCUGCUCUGUAGUCCCACGAACCAUGAAACAUGCACUAUCCUGGAAGGAAAUCAGACUGCCAUCUGAAUAUACCAGGCAGGAGAUGAUAGAAGGGCAGUCCAGAGUGGCACACCAAAGUAUUUCUGAUGCCAGAACUUCACCAUCAGAGACAGCAGUCCUCUUCCCUGGCCUGGACAAGAUCCCCAAGAUGGUUGAGUUUGCUGGGGAAAAAAAAAAAAAAUCCUUUUAAGACUGUGGGAAGAAAUGCUGCCACUGCCACCUGGGAUGAUACCUGGAGAAAAAAAGGUUUCUAUGGUUUUGGAUCUAUGAAGGGGGCUUCCAGGAGAUGAUGAUGUUAAAGUAUUUACAAAAAUAUCUUGAAAACAGAGCCACUGAAGCAAGAAAGUAUGAAAGCAAUUUUCUAAAACUGUGAACAGAAGUACAUCUAUAAUUAUAGGCAUUUAAACUUGGAGCCCAUUGGAGAAUGUAAACACAUUCUUUUUAUCAAAAAUGUUACAAUGAUAAUGAAGAACAUUUAAUAAGAAAAGU